UGGCGCAGAAGAAAUGACACUG
rnacentral:miRNA from 1 species